rnacentral:rRNA from 1 species
CCUACGGGAGGCAGCAGUGGGGAAUUUUGGACAAUGGGCGCAAGCCUGAUCCAGCAAUGCCGCGUGAGUGAAGAAGGCCUUCGGGUUGUAAAGCUCUUUUGUCAGGGAAGAAACGGUGGGAGCUAAUAUCUUCUGCUAAUGACGGUACCUGAAGAAUAAGCACCGGCUAACUACGUGCCAGCAGCCGCGGUAAUACGUAGGGUGCAAGCGUUAAUCGGAAUUACUGGGCGUAAAGCGUGCGCAGGCGGUUGUGCAAGACAGAUGUGAAAUCCCCGGGCUCAACCUGGGAAUUGCAUUUGUGACUGCACGGCUAGAGUGUGUCAGAGGGGGGUAGAAUUCCACGUGUAGCAGUGAAAUGCGUAGAGAUGUGGAGGAAUACCGAUGGCGAAGGCAGCCCCCUGGGAUAACACUGACGCUCAUGUACGAAAGCGUGGGGAGCAAACAGGAUUAGAUACCCUGGUAGUCCACGCCCUAAACGAUGUCUACUAGUUGUCGGUUCUUAAUUGACUUGGUAACGCAGACUACGACGUAGAGUAGACCGCCGNGGGAGGUACGGUCGCGAGAAGUUAAACGUACGAAGUAGAGUAGAGCGNGAGAGNGCGAGGACGACGACGAGGGAGGAGG